UGAAAUUGUCUCAAGAUGGGCAGUGUGAAGACUGUUAUCUCACUCAUGUUUCAUAUUCCAGAGUCUCAGAAAGAUCCCACCAUCUACCCACUGAGACCCCCACCAUCUCCCAUCCCAAGUGACCCAGUGAGAAUCGGCUGCCUGAUUUAUGAUUUCUUCCCAUCCGGAACUGUGACAGUGACCUGGGGCAAGAGUGGGGAGCAUAUAACCACCAUAAACUUCCCAGCUGCCCAGACCUCUGGGGGACGGUACAUCAUGAGCAGCGAGUUGACCCUGCCAGUUGAAGAGUGCCCAGAAGAAACAACUGUGAAAUGCUCUGUACAACUUAACUCUAACAACGUCAAAGAACUAAAUGUGGAAUGCCCUGAUAUUAUUCCUACUCCUACUCCUACUCCUACUCCUCGCCCUCUACCCUGCCAUCGCAGCCUGACACUGCAGCAGCCAGCUCUUGAGGACCUGCUCCUGGGUUCAGAUGCCAGCCUCACAUGCACUCUUCAUGGCCUGAGAGACCCUGAGGGAGCCGUCUUCACCUGGAGUCCCACCACUGGGAAGGAAGUAGUGCAGAAGGAACCUGAGCAGGACGUCUGCGGCUGCUACAGUGUAUCCAGCAUCCUGACUGGCUGUGCUGAGCAAUGGAACCGUGGAACGACCUUCACAUGCACAGUUACCCAUCCUGAACUUAAACAGGAAACCUUAACUAAAACAAUUGCCAAAGUCACAGAGAACCUCUUCCCACCCCAGGUCCACCUGCUACCGCCGCCGUCGGAGGAGCUGGCCCUGAAUGAGCUCGUGUCCCUGACGUGCCUUGUGCGAGGAUUCAACCCGAAGGAAGUGCUGGUGCGUUGGCUACAUGGAAAUGAGGAGCUGCCCCCUGAGAGCUACCUAGUGUUUGAGCCCCUAAAGGAGCCAGGCGAUGGACCCACCACCUACCUGGUGACAAGCGUGCUGCGUGUGUCAGCUGAAAUCUGGAAACAGGGUGACCGGUACUCCUGCAUGGUGGGCCACGAGGCCUUGCCCAUGAACUUCACCCAGAAGACCAUCGACCGUCUGUCGGGUAAACCCACCAACGUCAACGUGUCUGUGAUCAUGUCAGAGGGAGAUGGCAUCUGCUACUGAGCCACCCUGCCUGUCCCUACUCCUUAAAUAAACUCUGUGCUCAUCCAAAGUA